CAGGACAAGCUCCUCAGUACAGAGGAGAAUCCCCUGCGUGUGAGACGUGUGGCCCUGGAUCUGCAUCUCUAGAUGCCCUCGGACAUCCUCUGAUGACCAGCGCUGCCCUCUGAUGACCAGUGUUGCCCUCUGAUGACCGAUGAAGACCCUGAUGAUCAAUGACACCCUCUGAUGACCGAUGAAGACCCUGAUGAUCACUGACCCCCUCUGAUGAUCAAUAAAUCCCUCAGCAAAUCUA